UACGUAGGGUGCGAGCGUUGUCCGGAAUUACUGGGCGUAAAGAGCUCGUAGGCGGCUUGUCGCGUUGUUCGUGAAAAUUUACCGCUCAACGGUGAACUUGCGGGCGAUACGGGCAGGCUAGAGUACUGCAGGGGAGACUGGAAUUCCUGGUGUAGCGGUGAAAUGCGCAGAUAUCAGGAGGAACACCGAUGGCGAAGGCAGGUCACUGGGCCGCAACUGACGCUGAGGAGCGAAAGCAUGGGGAGCGAACAGG
rnacentral:rRNA from 1 species